AGGAAAAGAAACCAACAGGGAUUGCCUCAGUAACGGCGAGUGAAGCGGCAACAGCUCAAAUUUGAAAUCUGGCCGCAAGGUCCGAGUUGUAAUUUGCAGAGGAUGCUUUUGGCGAGGUGCCUUCCGAGUUCCCUGGAACGGGACGCCAUAGAGGGUGAGAGCCCCGUACGGUAGGACCACCGAGCCUCUGUAAAGCUCCUUCGACGAGUCGAGUAGUUUGGGAAUGCUGCUCUAAAUGGGAGGUGUACGUCUUCUAAAGCUAAAUACCGGCCAGAGACCGAUAGCGCACAAGUAGAGUGAUCGAAAGAUGAAAAGCACUUUGAAAAGAGGGUUAAAAAGUACGUGAAAUUGUUGAAAGGGAAGCAUUCAUGACCAGACUUGGGCUUGGUUGAACAUCCGGCGUUCUCGCCGGUGCACUCUGCCAGUCCAGGCCAGCAUCAGUUUGCCCCGGGGGAUAAAGGCGGUGGGAAUGUGGCACCCUCCGGGGUGUGUUAUAGCCCGCCGUGUAAUGCCCUGGGGUGGACUGAGGAACGCGCUUCGGCACGGAUGCUGGCGUAAUGGUCAUCAAUGACCCGUCU
rnacentral:rRNA from 1 species